UACGUAGGGUGCAAGCGUUAAUCGGAAUUACUGGGCGUAAAGCGUGCGCAGGCGGUUAUGUAAGACAGAUGUGAAAUCCCCGGGCUCAACCUGGGAACUGCAUUUGUGACUGCAUAGCUAGGGUACGGUAGAGGGGGAUGGAAUUCCGCGUGUAGCAGUGAAAUGCGUAGAUAUGCGGAGGAACACCGAUGGCGAAGGCAAUCCCCUGGACCUGUACUGACGCUCAUGCACGAAAGCGUGGGGAGCAAACAGG
rnacentral:rRNA from 1 species